rnacentral:rRNA from 1 species
UAGGGAAUUUUCGUCAAUGGGGGGAAGCCCUGAACGAGCAAUGCCGCGUGUGUGAAGAAGGUCUUCGGAUCGUAAAGCACUGUUGUAAGUGAAGAAUGCCAUAUAGAGGAAAUGCUAUGUGGGUGACGGUAGCUUACCAGAAAGCCACGGCUAACUACGUGCCAGCAGCCGCGGUAAUACGUAGGUGGCAAGCGUUAUCCGGAAUCAUUGGGCGUAAAGGGUGCGUAGGUGGCACGAUAAGUCUGAAGUAAAAGGCAACAGCUCAACUGUUGUAUGCUUUGGAAACUGUCGAGCUAGAGUGCAGAAGAGGGCGAUGGAAUUCCAUGUGUAGCGGUAAAAUGCGUAGAUAUAUGGAGAAACACCAGUGGCGAAGGCGGUCGCCUGGUCUGUAACUGACACUGAUGCACGAAAGCGUGGGGAGCAAAUAGGAUUAGAUACC